GACGAACCGUGCGAACGUUGUUCGGAAUCACUGGGCUUAAAGGGCGCGUAGGCGGGCGAUCCAGUCUUUCGUGAAAUCUUUCGGCUCAACCGGAAAAUCGCGGGGGAUACUGAUCGUCUCGAGGGGGGUAGGGGCAUGUGGAACUUCCGGUGGAGCGGUGAAAUGCGUAGAUAUCGGAAGGAACGCCGGUGGCGAAAGCGACGUGCUGGACCCUUUCUGACGCUGAGGCGCGAAAGCCAGGGGAGCAAACAGG
rnacentral:rRNA from 1 species